rnacentral:rRNA from 1 species
AUGCCGCUCCUCGUCGUCCUCCUGGCAUUGUUGUCAUGCGCCACGCAUGGCGCCAACGCCGCGGCCUGCGACCCGACCACCGGCUUCGUCACGGUGCCACUCACCGAUGCGCAGCUCCCGGUGCAGAGGCCGUACGACGUGCCGCUGGACCAGCGGUACGAGCUCGCGAAUGGCAUGCGGCGGAUGUGGGUGUACUGCACUGACAAGCCCCAUAGCCCAACCAGCCACACCAAGCCACGAACAGAAAUCCGCACGGUGUUCGGCGCGGCGAAGCACGCGACAACGCUGAUGCUGCACGUCUACGGCGGCGCGCUGGUGUACUACAACGACUGGACGCGGGUGGUCGACCGCGGCAUCUACAACCGAUGGUUCAGGCUCAACGUGAUCCACGACGUCGGCGGCGCAGGGACGCUCACCGUGUUCAUCGACGGCCAGGAGCGGCUACGCGUAGCGGGGCGCGGCGGCGACUUGCACUACUUCAAGUUCGGGGUGUAUACUCAGACGGCCCCCUCGCACCUCAUGGAAUCGCGGUGGAGAGACGUCAGGCUCUUCACCAAGGAAGCUUACUGA